rnacentral:rRNA from 1 species
UAAGUAGGGUGCAAGCGUUGUCCGGAAUUAUUGGGCGUAAAGAGCUCGUAGGCGGCUUGUCGCGUCGGCUGUGAAAACCUGGGGCUCAACCCCGGGCCUGCAGCCGAUACGGGCAAGCUAGAAUUCGGUAGGGGAGACUGGAAUUCCUGGUGUAGCGGUGAAAUGCGCAGAUAUCAGGAAGAACACCCGUGGCGAAAGCGGCUCUCUGGAACGGUACUGACGCUGAGACGCGAAAGCGUGGGGAGCGAUCCGG